UGGGGAAUAUUGCACAAUGGGCGCAAGCCUGAUGCAGCCAUGCCGCGUGUGUGAAGAAGGCCUUCGGGUUGUAAAGCACUUUCAGCGGGGAGGAAGGCGAUAAGGUUAAUAACCUUGUCGAUUGACGUUACCCGCAGAAGAAGCACCGGCUAACUCCGUGCCAGCAGCCGCGGUAAUACGGAGGGUGCAAGCGUUAAUCGGAAUUACUGGGCGUAAAGCGCACGCAGGCGGUCUGUCAAGUCGGAUGUGAAAUCCCCGGGCUCAACCUGGGAACUGCAUUCGAAACUGGCAGGCUAGAGUCUUGUAGAGGGGGGUAGAAUUCCAGGUGUAGCGGUGAAAUGCGUGGAGAUCUGGGGGAAUACCGGUGGCGAAGGCGGCCCCCUGGACAAAGACUGACGCUCAGGUGCGAAAGCGUGGGGAGCAAACAGG
rnacentral:rRNA from 1 species